rnacentral:lncRNA from 10 species
GAGAUAAAAGACACCCUGACUUCAUUUCAUAUGAUGCUAGCCACUGAGAACUGGGCUGAAUCUAAGCUUAUCAACCUUCCUUCUAGUUACAGAGAUGGAAAGGGAAUAUGACCAUCACUCAUGUGGAAGUUGAGCCAUUAGAAGAAAGUCCACACAUCUUAUCUGCCAGUAAAAACCUAGUCUCACCAGAUGUCUCUUCAUUCAAGCAAGGCUAGUGACUGUUCUAAACAGAAUCAUAAGAUCUGACUGUGACCAAUAAUGGAGAACUUGCACUUGCAAAGAAAUGGUUGUGGAGAAGCUUCCCAUUUCUAUAUCUGGACACAACUAUGUGAGGAGGUGAUGCUGGAACAGGCCUACUGUCUGAAGUUCACAGGCUGAGGAUGACAGGAAAAAAUAAAAGAUUUAACUAACCUGGUGAUGAUGCCACUGAGCCCUUGAAUUAACCCUGAAACUGUGCUAACUAUAGACAUCUUAUUAUAUGAGACAAUAAACAAUAUUUAAGCUAUG